AUGUACAACUCGUACACUCCGGUUUCUUCGCUGCCUCCACACCCACCUGACCUCGCUCGCUACGUUUGUUGGUG
rnacentral:sRNA from 1 species